rnacentral:tRNA from 1 species
AUUAAGAUGGCAGAUCAGUGCAAAGAGUUUAAGAUUCUUUUAGAGAAAUAGGUUGUAUUUCUUCUUAAUA